rnacentral:rRNA from 1 species
GACGAACGCUGGCGGCGUGCUUAACACAUGCAAGUCGAACGGAAAGGCCCUGCUUGCAGGGUACUCGAGUGGCGAACGGGUGAGUAACACGUGGGUGAUCUGCCCUGCACUUCGGGAUAAGCCUGGGAAACUGGGUCUAAUACCGGAUAGGAGCCAUUUUUAGUGUGAUGGUUGGAAAGUUUUUUCGGUGUAGGAUGAGCUCGCGGCCUAUCAGCUUGUUGGUGGGGUAAUGGCCUACCAAGGCGGCGACGGGUAGCUGGCCUGAGAGGGUGGACGGCCAGACGGGAGCUGAGAGACGGUACUGACUACUAGGGGAGGCAGGAGUGGGGAAUAGUGGACAAUGGGGGCAAGCCUGAUCCAGGCAUGCGGGGUGUGUGAAGAAGGUUUUCGGAUUGUAAAGUACUUUAAGUUGGGAGGAAGGGCAGUAAGUUAAUACCUUGCUGUUUUGACGUUAAAAACAGAAUAAGCACCGGCUAACUUCGUG